rnacentral:lncRNA from 1 species
UGGCAGGAAGCAGAGUGCUGGUCUUACACAACACUUUUUGUUGGUGUCAGCAUCAAAGGAAGAACACUGAAGCACGUAGGACAAGGCCUGAUCUUGUAUAACCUGAGUCUUCGGGAAAGAUGGUACAGACAGGAGCUACAAGACCUGAUCAUUUGUGUUGGCUCUGCCACUAACUGGAUGAACACUAACUGGAUAAAGAUGCUAGAAGUUAAUGAAAAAAAUAUUUAAAGUACUCAAGAGAAAGUAACUCUAAACCCACAAUUCUAUAUGUUUUUAACAACCAGUCAAAGGGGUAUUGGUAAGGUGGAAGUUGGGCACGUCAUUCCUCAGCUCACAUCAUUUUUAAAACUUUUUUUAAAAACAGCUUUAUUAAGAUACAACUUAAAAAAAUAAAAAAUAAAAAAGAUACAACUUAUAUGUCAUAAAAUUCACCCCUUGUAAGUGUAUAAUUUUGUUAUUUUUAGUAAAUUUAUAGACCUAUGCAACCAUCACCACAAUCCAGUUUUAAAACAUAUCCACCAUCCCAAAAUGUUCCCUUGUUCCACUUUGCAAUUAAUCCCUGCUACUACUAAUACCUCCAAGCUCUAGGCAGCCACGAAUCUAUUUUCUGUCUAAAUUUGCCUUUUCUGGACAUUUCAGAGAGAUGGACUCAUGCAAUCUGUAGUUUUUUUGCAUCUGGCUACUUCCAUAUGGCAUAACAUUUUUGAGAUCCAUCCAUGUUGUAGUAUGGAUUAGCAGUUUGUUCCUUUAUUUAUUUUUAUUUUUUGAGAUGGAGUUUCACUCGUGUUGCCCAGGCUGGAGUGCAAUGGCGUGAUCGCAGCUCACUGCAACCUCCACCUCCCAGAUUCAAGAGAUUCUCCUGCCUCAGCCGCCCGACUAGCUGGGAUUACAGGCAUGUGCCACCACGCCUGGCUAAUUUUCUGUAUUUUUAGUAGAGACAGGGUUUCCCCAUGUUGGCCAGGCUGGUCUUGAACUCCUGACCUCAGGUGAUCCACCCACCUUGGCCUCCGAAAGUUCUGGGAUUACAGGCGUGACCCACUGCACCCAGCUUAGUUUGUUCCUUGUUUAUUGCUGAAUAGUAUGCCAGUGUGUGGACAGGUCACAUUUUGUUAUCUGUGCACUAGCUG